AGCUUUGCACAGUGGCAGCAUCAUAGCUAAUGAGGUUUAUCCAAAGCAUGAUUAUUGCUAAUUGAAAACUUUUCUCAAGGAA
ensembl:snRNA U4 U4 spliceosomal RNA